UUCACCUGUUCUUCAGGGGUAGCUCGAUGAACACGUUGUAACUAUGCAGCUAAAGAUGCUUUACAUUAUCUUUACGUAAACAUAUAUACACAGGUUGAUAGAGUUUGGCUUACAAUAGGACUUAUCAAACUAUUCAAUCAAUCUAGAUAAACUUUAUCACCCUCCCUCAAUUCUGAUCAGGGACUGGUAGAAUUGAAAGUUUGGAACCAAGAGCUCAUGUCUGUGUAGAAGAUACUAAAGUUUUUUGGUUGUAAAUUAUUUAGCUCAGUUUGCCGUACAGUUAGUUUGUUGAAAAUGUUUGCUAUAAGUUGCUGACUUGGACCACUAGUUAGCUAGCUGCUGCUGUAUACAAACUUUCUUCUUGUAUUCAUUCAUGUGUGGUGAAAUUGAGAUUCAUUUUUCAUUUUUCAUCUACAAUUUUAUCAUGGUAUCAGAGCAGGAAGAGAUCUAGGAUUUGAAGUGACGGUUACCAAGAAAUCACAAUCGAAGAAUUAGGGAAAAAUUAGGGAAAACUUUCUAAGGAUGGAAGAAAAUCGAGUCCGUGAAAUUGCUACGAGAGAAGAUGCGAGAGGUCAGGUCAAUGGAGUUCAAACUACUGGAGAUCCUUUGUAUUUGCAAAACUCGAAUCAUCCAGGUAUGGUUCAAGUCUCUACUCCUCUGAAUGGAAGAAAUUUUUGCUCUUGGAAUAGAGCAAUGAGAAUAGCCCUAGGGGCGAAGCAGAAAUUAGGAUUUGUUAAUGGAUCAAUUUCAAUGCUGCAAGAAGGAACUGAAGGAUUUGAGCAGUGGAAACGUUGUGAUUAUAUGGUUACAUCAUGGAUUCUUAAUGCCAUAACAAAAGAUUUGGUUGAUGCAUUUAUCUAUACAACUUCAGCAAAAGAAUUAUGAUAGGAAAUCUUUGAGAGGUAUGAUAGGAGUAAUAGUGCCUUGAUCUAUCAAUUGCACAGGCAGAUAUCUUCUAUUUUACAGGAGAAUGCUACAGUUACUGCGUAUUUUACAAAACUUAAAAGGUUGUGGGAUGAGUUAGGAUCUGUUAAGUGUUGCCUUCGUGCACUUGUGGUGUAGCAAAAGAAAUAGCAUAUCUGAUUGACAGAAAUAGGUUGAUGCAAUUUCUGACGGAACUUAAUGAAAGCUUUGAUUCUGUUAGAAAUCAAGUAUUGUUAACGGAUCCCCUACCAUCCAUCAAUAAAGCGUAUUCCACAGUGUUGAAAUUUGAGACACAAAAGCAAGUAUUGAGUAAUUUUCUAAGAUGAAUGAAUCAGUCUCUUUAUUCAAAGUCACAAGGUCAGUCUCAAGGAUAUAAGAAGGAACAAAAUAAGUAUGACCCUAAAAAAGGCCAUUGUAGCUAUUGUGACAUGGAUGGGCACAUUAGAAAAAAUUGUUUCAAGCUGAUUGGAUGUCUUGACUGGUUUAAAACUAGAAAUAAAGGGCAACAGAAUAGUUUUAAGCAGUAUAAACAAAAUGCUGGACAAGGAAAUAAGGUGGCUGCCAUAGCAGAAGGCACUUUUGUUUCUGAUACUCCGAUUGAGAUAAAUGGAGAAAGUUCAAAAAUUGAAGAGUUGAGCAGUAUGCUUGGUUCUCUACAGUAGGAAAUUCAAAAACUGGUUAAAGGAAAGGGUUUGUCUUCAACCAAUACUCCGAAUGCUACAAGUGGACAGUAUUGCAGUUCCACUUGUUAGAAUGCAACGAAUUUUGCUGGACCUGCAGACCGAGGAAGUACUAGCUGUGGGAAGAGAAGCAGCAGGCCUUUACAAAUUAGACAAAUUGAGUUUUUCUCCUGGUAUCAUUCAAAAAUGUUUAACACAUCUUCAUAAUUCCUUGUCUUCUUUCUCCUAUGUAAAUACCAUUAUCUCUAAAGCUUGUUCUCUCAAAAUUGAUAUUAAUAAAGAGAGUGUUUUGUGUUCUA